CAGGCAGUGAAUCAGAAACAGGAAAUCAGGGUAGAUAAUGGCUAGUAAAAUCAGAGAAAAAUCAGUCAGCAAAGGGCCCAGAAUACUAGUCUGGAGCUCAGAGGCAGCCGAUCAAUGAUUCUCUCUCAUCAUUGAUGUUUCUAUCUCUCCCUCCCCCUUCCUCUCUGAAAUCAAUAAAAAUA